rnacentral:misc_RNA from 1 species
GAUUGAAGAACGCAGCGAAAUGCGAUAAGUAAUGUGAAUUGCAGAAUUCAGUGAAUCAUCGAAUCUUUGAACGCACAUUGCGCCCGCCAGUAUUCUGGCGGGCAUGCCUGUUCGAGCGUCAUUUCAACCAUCAAGCCCCCGGGCUUGUGUUGGGGACCUGCGGCUGCCGCAGGCCCUGAAAAGCAGUGGCGGGCUCGCUGUCACACCGAGCGUAGUAGAUUUUAUCUCGCUCUGGGCGUGCUGCGGGUUCCGGCCGUUAAACCACCCUUUUAACCCAAGGUUGACCUCGGAUCAGGUAGGAAGACCCGCUGAACUUAAGCAUAUCAAUAAGCGGAGGA